rnacentral:rRNA from 1 species
GAUCCUGGCUCAGGACGAACGCUGGCGGCGUGCUUAACACAUGCAAGUCGAACGAGAAUCUGUGGAUCGAGGAUUCGUCCAAGUGAAGCAGAGGACAAUGGCGGACGGGUGAGUAACGCGUGAGGAACCUGCCUUUCAGAGGGGGACAACAGUUGGAAACGACUGCUAAUACCGCAUGAUACGUAUUGGGGGCAUCCCUGAGACGUCAAAGAUUUAUCGCCGAAAGAUGGCCUCGCGU